GACGAACGCUGGCGGCGUGCCUAAUACAUGCAAGUAGAACGCUGAAGGAAGGAGCUUGCUCUUUCCGGAUGAGUUGCGAACGGGCGAGUAACGCGUAGGUAACCUGCCUGGUAGCGGGGGAUAACUAUUGGAAACGAUAGCUAAUACCGCAUAAUAUCGAUUAUUGCAUGAUAGUCAAUUAAAAGGUGCAAUUGCACCACUACCAGAUGGACCUGCGUUGUAUUAGCUAGUAGGUGAGGUAACGGCUCACCUAGGCGACGAUACAUAGCCGACCUGAGAGGGUGAUCGGCCACACUGGGACUGAGACACGGCCCAGACUCCUACGGGAGGCAGCAGUAGGGAAUCUUCGGCAAUGGGGGCAACCCUGACCGAGCAACGCCGCGUGAGUGAAGAAGGUUUUCGGAUCGUAAAGCUCUGUUGUAAGUCAAGAACGAGUGUGAGAGUGGAAAGUUCACACUGUGACGGUAGCUUACCAGAAA
rnacentral:rRNA from 1 species